rnacentral:rRNA from 1 species
UACGUAGGGACCGAGCGUUGUCCGGAAUCAUUGGGCGUAAAGAGCGUGUAGGCGGCCUUUUAAGUCCUGCGUGAAAUCCUGCGGCUCAACCGCAGACGGUCGUGGGAAACUGGAAGGCUAGAGUGCGGGAGAGGAGAGUGGAAUUCCUGGUGUAGCGGUGAAAUGCGUAGAUAUCAGGAGGAACACCUGUGGUGUAGACGGCUUUCUGGACCAUAGCUGACGCUGAGGCACGAAAGCGUGGGUAGCAAACAGG